rnacentral:rRNA from 1 species
UACAGAGGGGGCAAGCGUUAUUCGGAAUUAUUGGGCGUAAAGGGCGCGUAGGCGGCUUUGCAAGUGACGGGUGAAAUCCCUCGGCUUAACCGAGGAACUGCCUGUCAAACUGCAUGGCUUGAGACCGGGAGAGGUGAGUGGAAUUCCCAGUGUAGCGGUGAAAUGCGUAGAUAUUGGGAGGAACACCAGUGGCGAAGGCGGCUCACUGGACCGGUACUGACGCUGAUGCGCGAAAGCCAGGGGAGCAAACGGG